rnacentral:sRNA from 1 species
UUGCGCCUGCGGAGGGCCAAGCAUACGAUAUAUGGAAUAGACUUUGCAGGCAGUUUUUGUAUGUACGGUCCGGUUAAUUCGGUAAUUUACCGAAUUUAAUUCUUUCU